UACGGGGGGGGUAAGCGUUGUUCGGAAUUACUGGGCGUAAAGGGCUCGUAGGCGACCAACUAAGUCAGACGUGAAAUCCCUCAGCUUAACUGGGGAACUGCGUCUGAUACUGGAUGGCUUGGAUUGGGAGAGGAAUGCGGAAUUCCAGGUGUAGCGGUGAAAUGCGUAGAUAUCUGGAGGAACACCGGUGGCGAAGGCGGCAUUCUGGACCAAUAUUGACGCUGAGGAGCGAAAGCCAGGGGAGCAAAGCGGG
rnacentral:rRNA from 1 species